rnacentral:rRNA from 1 species
UAACGUCGAGUCAUUAUGCUCUCAUUUUUGGAGAUAUUCAUGUGUUACAAAGUGUUACAAAGAAAGUUAUAGGUUUCCUUUGAAAAUAGGAUUCUCAACAAUUAUCGUUCUAAUUGAAAAUUGAAAUGUUUUGAUGAAGGAGGAAUUAUUAGGAAUCAUUGGUUAGUUAUUCAAUGGUGGACAGGAUAUAAGUUUUGUACAUACCGCCCGUCAAGCAAAAAGCAGAGUUGAAUAUGAAAAUGGCAUAAAAUAAAAGCUAUUUUUUGUGCUUUCUAAUUUGUGUUAAGUCGAAACAUGGUUGCCAAUAAGGAAUUAUUGGCAGGACCA